rnacentral:rRNA from 1 species
UGCGAGUCACGUGUCUCUAGCUAUGUUGAGACACGGCAGACGGCUCAGUAACGCGUGGCUAACCUGCCCUCAGGACGAAGAUAACCCCGGGAAACUGGGGAUAAUAUUCGAUAGGUGAGGAUGUCUGGAAUGACUUCUCUCCUAAAGGACCUAGAUACAUGCUUCUAUGUCGCCUGGGGAUGGGGCCGCGCCCGAUCAGGUUGUUGGUGAGGUAACGGCUCACCAAGCCUAUAACCGGUACGGGCCGUGAGGGCGGUAGCCCGGAGAUGGGUACUGAGACAAGGACCCAGGCCCUACGGGGCGCAGCAGUCGCGAAAACUCCGCAAUGCACGAAAGUGUGACGGGGCUACCCCGAGUGCCAUCCGCUGAGGAUGGCUUUUCUUUGGUAUAACUAGCCAUUGGAAUAAGGAGAGGGCAAGACUGGUGUCAGCCGCCGCGGUAAUACCAGCUCUCCGAGUGGUAGGGAUGAUUAUUGGGCUUAAAGCGUCCGUAGCCGGCUUAGCAAGUUUCCUGUUAAACCCAGCGACUCAAUCGUUGGAUCGCGGGAAAUACUACUAGGCUAGGAGGCGGGAGAGGUCAACGGUACUUCUGGGGUAGGGGUGAAAUCCUAUAAUCCCGGGAGGACCACCAGUGGCGAAGGCUGUUGACUAGAACGCGCUCGACGGUGAGGGACGAAAGCUGGGGGAGCGAACCGGAUUAGAUACCCCGGGUAGUCCCAGCUGUAAACGAUGCGAGCUAGGUGUUGGGAUGGCUACGGGCCAUUUCAGUGCCGCAGGGAAGCCAUUAAGCUCGCCGCCUGGGGAGUACGGCCGCAAGGCUGAAACUUAA